GGGUUUGAGCCUGGCCCUGCUCUAACGCGUGCAGGCGGUCUAACACAUGCAAGUGAUGGUUUUUUUAAGUAAAAGUAAGUUAGCAAAAGCUUUGCUUUUGCUGAUUUACUUUUAACAAAAAACCACGCGCCCGGGUGCGUGAUAACUGGUUUUCUUACUUUUUUUAAAGGUUAAUUCUUUAUACAAGAUUUUAUUUAUUUUUGCUUAGGCUUAAUUCAAAAAAUUAAACUUAUAAAAAAUCUUAAAGAUAGAAAUCGAAAAAAGUAGAUGCUGGUUUGGAUUAGGUUGUUGGGUUGGUAACAGCAGCCCAAGCCCUGGAUCCACAGCCUCCCUUAACGGGGGAUGGCCACAGCGGAACUGAAACACGGUCCGUCCAUUUUUUGGCAGCAGUGAAGAAUCUUUGACAAUGGGCGCAAGCCUGAUCAAGCUAGCCUGUGAAAGGGACUUUUUAUAAACAGAAAAGUAAAUAAUAGAAGGCCUUUGGUUGUAAACCUUUCAACAUUUAGCAUCAGCAUGACAUUUCUAAACGUUAUUCCCCGGCUAACUCUGUGCCAGCAGCCGCGGUAAGACAGAGGGGGAGAGUGUUGAGCAUCUGGACUAGGCCUAAAGCGCGGGUCGGUGGUUUAAUAAACUAAAACAGAUUUCCUCGAAGGGUCGGGGCUCUUGUUUUAAGACUUUUAAACUGGAGUUUAAGCUCAGGAUAAGAGAACAACCCAAGAACCGGUAGAAUGGAAGUAUAUGGGUGUGAAUGCCAACGGCGAAGGCACUUAUCUUUUCUUAAACUGACGCCCAGCCGCGGAAGCGUGGUGUACCGAAUGGGAUUAGAUACCCCAGUAGCCCACGCCGUCAACCAUGAGUGUUGAAUUUAGUUUAAUUUUUAAAAAAGCUAAGCUAAGUUUUAGUUAAAAACGACAACACUUCGCCUGGGGAGUAAAGCCGCAAGACUGAAACUCAAAGGCAUAAGCUGCCGGGUAGACCGGCGGUGGAACAUAGCGGUGGAAUCGAAACAACGCGUAACACCUCACCACUUCUUGAAUGCAAAAUAACUUAUU
rnacentral:rRNA from 1 species